GAUGAAGAACGCAGUGAAAUGCGAUAAGUAAUGUGAAUUGCAGAAUUCAGUGAAUCAUCGAAUCUUUGAACGCACAUUGCGCCCCCUGGUAUUCCGGGGGGCAUGCCUGUUCGAGCGUCAUUUCACCACUCAAGCCUCGCUUGGUAUUGGGCAACGCGGUCCGCCGCGUGCCUCAAAUCGACCGGCUGGGUCUUCUGUCCCCUAAGCGUUGUGGAAACUAUUCGCUAAAGGGUGUUCGGGAGGCUACGCCGUAAAACAACCCCAUUUCUAAGGUUGACCUCGGAUCAGGUAGGGAUACCCGCUGAACUUAAGCAUAUCAAUAGCGGAGGA
rnacentral:misc_RNA from 1 species